rnacentral:rRNA from 1 species
AGUGGCGAGCGAACGCGGACCAGCCCUAAAGCUGUUAUAUGACAAAUAGAAUGUUUUGGAAAAUUCAACCAAAGAAGGUGAAAGUCCUGUAUAUGUAUGUUAUAUAAUGGUUAUUCGAGUAAGGCGAAGCCGGUGAAACUUUGUCCGAAAAUAGCAGCACCAUCUGCUAAGGCUAAAUACUCCUGAGAGACCGAUAGUGAA